GACGAACGCUGGCGGCGUGCUUAAAACAUGCAAGUCGAACGGACUUCUCAUGAAGCUUGCGAUUGAGAAGUUAGUGGCGGACGGGUGAGUAACGCGUGGGCAACCUGCCCCUGGGCCCGGGAUAACAGUUCGAAAGGACUGCUAAGACCGGAUAUACUUGCGGGGAAGCAUUUCACUGCAAGGAAAGGGAACGCUCAGGGAUGGGCCCGCGUCCCAUUAGCUAGUUGGUGAGGUAACGGCCCACCAAGGCGACGAUGGGUAGCCGGCCUGAGAGGGUGAACGGCCACACUGGGACUGAGACACGGCCCAGACUCCUACGGGAGGCAGCAGUUGGGAAUCUUCGGCAAUGGGCGCAAGCCUGACCGAGCAACGCCGCGUGAGUGAUGAAGGUUUUCGGAUUGUAAAGCUCUGUCUUCCGGGACGAUAAUGACGGUACCGGAGGAGGAAGCCACGGCUAACUACGUG
rnacentral:rRNA from 1 species